rnacentral:lncRNA from 1 species
AGCCACCAUAGAGUGAGUCAAUUUUGUAAACACAUCCUUGUAACCCUACUAUCACUUUGUAUAGUGGAAGAAUCUCCAUAUUGGAGAAUUAUAAUCGUGUGUUCCCAUUACUACCUUUAAUUACUAAGUGCCUAUCUUAACUUCACGAAGCGGGAAAGUCCGAGUUUUCCCAACAGUGGUAUCAGAGCCAGGUUGUUCGACUUGGUGAUCGGCUCAGACGAGUAAGAUGGCGGUGAUGGAUCUCAGCUUUGGGGAUCCCUUGUAUCGAAAGUCUUCCUGGCGGUGAGUCCAGGCAGCGUGUCCCGCAGAUGGAGCGGCGGUGCAAGUACCGCAGGUAGCUAGAGCAUGAAGGCUCUAAUGGUUAUACUCGUGGAUGAUGACUUUCGCUCGAAGGGGGAGGCUUCCAUGUGGAAGAGACUCACACUUGAGGGGGAGAUGUGUUGGAGUACAAGUGUGAGAUGAAGUCCCACAUCGGGUAAAAGAAUCUCCCCGAUAUUUCCUCCCAUCGAGUUUUUCCCAACAGUGUGAAGGUGGAGUAUUAUAAAUAAGGGUAGGAGCCUUCAUUCCUAACAAUCCAAUGAGAGAGCCUCUCUGAGAGAGAAGAUAAAUAGCUUGGGAAGUCUCUAUCC